rnacentral:snRNA from 1 species
GGAUGUGAGGGCGAUCUGGCUGCGACAUCUGUCACCCCAUUGAUCGCCAGGGUUGAUUCGGCUGAUCUGGCUGGCUAGGCGGGUGUCCCCUUCCUCCCUCACCGCUCCAUGUGCGUCCCUCCCGGAGCUGCGCGCGCGAAUAGAGGAGGACCGGUCUUCUGUCAAGGGUGUACGAGUAGCUGCGCUCCCCUGCUAGAACGUCCAAACAAGCUCUCAAGGUCCAUUUGUAGGAGAACGUAGGGGAGUCAAGCUUCCAAGACUCCAGACACAUCCAAAUGAGGCGCUGCAUGUGGCAGUCUGCCUUUCUUU